AGAGCGAACGCUGGCGGCGUGCUUAACACAUGCAAGUCGAACGUGAAAGUAGCAAUAUGAGUAAAGUGGCGUACGGGUGAGUAACACGUGGGUAAUCUACCUUAGAGUCUGGAAUAACCUGCCGAAAGGCGGGCUAAUACUGGAUAGAUCAAGCGCAUCAUAAGGUGUGAUUGGGAAAGGAGCAAUUCGCUUUAGGAUGAGCCCGCGUCUGAUUAGCUAGUUGGUAAGGUAAUGGCUUACCAAGGCGACGAUCAGUAGCUGGUCUGAGAGGAUGAUCAGCCACACUGGAACUGAAACACGGUCCAGACUCCUACGGGAGGCAGCAGUGGGGAAUAUUGCACAAUGGGCGAAAGCCUGAUGCAGCAACGCCGCGUGAGUGAUGAAGGCCUUCGGGUUGUAAAGCUCUGUCUUUUGGGACGAUAAUGACGGUACCAAAGGAGGAAGCCACGGCUAACUACGUGCCAGCAGCCGCGGUAAUACGUAGGUGGCGAGCGUUGUCCGGAUUUACUGGGCGUAAAGGAUGCGUAGGUGGAUAUUUAAGUGAGAUGUGAAAUACCCGAGCUUAACUUGGGUGCUGCAUUUCAAACUGGAUAUCUAGAGUGCAGGAGAGGAGAAUGGAAUUCCUAGUGUAGCGGUGAAAUGCGUAGAGAUUAGGAAGAACACCAGUGGCGAAGGCGAUUCUCUGGACUGUAACUGACACUGAGGCAUGAAAGCGUGGGUAGCAAACAGGAUUAGAUACCCUGGUAGUCCACGCCGUAAACGAUGAGUACUAGGUGUAGGAGGUAUCGACUCCUUCUGUGCCGCAGUUAACACAAUAAGUACUCCGCCUGGGAAGUACGAUCGCAAGAUUAAA
rnacentral:rRNA from 1 species